ensembl:miRNA
GCAUCUAGUGCAAUGAUUGUGUUGUUUUCUUUUUAAUCUUUUAAUAAAUCUAGGGGAUAGCAUUGGUGUAUUUUCUUGU